GAUGAACGCUGGCGGCGUGCCUAAUACAUUCAAGUCGAGCGAACAGACGAGGAGCUUGCUCCUCUGACGUUAGCGGCGGACGGGUGAGUAACACGUGGAUAACCUACCUAUAAGACUUGGAUAACUUCGGGAAACCGGAGCUAAUACCGGAUAAUAUAUUGAACCGCAUGGUUCAAUAGUGAAAUACGGUUUUGCUAUCACUUAUAGAUGGAUCCGCGCCGCAUUAGCUAGUUGGUAAGGUAACGGCUUACCAAGGCAACGAUGCGUAGCCGACCUGAGAGGGUGAUCGGCCACACUGGAACUGAGACAAGGUCCAGACUCCUACGGGAGGCAGCAGUAGGGAAUCUUCCGCAAUGGGCGAAAGCUUGACGGAGCAACGCCGCGUGAGUGAUGAAGGUCUUCGGAGCGUAAAACUCUGUUAUUAGGGAAGAACAAAUGUGUAAGUAACUAUGCACGUCUUGACGGUACCUAAUCAGAAAGCCACGGCUAACUACGUG
rnacentral:rRNA from 1 species